rnacentral:rRNA from 1 species
CCUACGGGAGGCAGCAGUGGGGAAUAUUGCACAAUGGGCGAAAGCCUGAUGCAGCAACGCCGCGUGAGCGAUGAAGGCUUUCGGGUCGUAAAGCUCUGUCCUAAGGGAAGAUAAUGACGGUACCUUAGGAGGAAGCCCCGGCUAACUACGUGCCAGCAGCCGCGGUAAU